AGCCCCUCCCUCAUCCCCGCUCAUCAUCGCCGCUGCCUGCUACUCCCGGGGCGGCCGAGCGCCAACGGUGCGGCAAUGGCUGUUCCAGGAGGCGAGGGCGAGGGCACGGGUGUUGGGCGUUGGGUGCGUGGACAAAGAGGGAGGAGUCAACUUGAGGGAGGAGAUGAGAGAGGUGAGGAUUGGCAGCGAUUGCAGGGAGAGGAGGAGGAGUCUGGAGGCAACGGACGAUUUUUUUAGGGUGGUUGGCGACCUACAGCCUACAGGCAACGUCUGUAGCAGCAGCAGGCGACCUGCAGCAGCUCCUUCCUACCUUCCAUGGACGAGCUCUUCGGAGACGCCGUCCAGCCCGACCACGGCCACGACUACCCCACGCACAAGAGGAAGGUUGAUUCAUUUGUCAAAUUCAUUCCACCGAAGCCAUCUGCUCCGUCCACCAACCCGCCCAGAAAGGUAGUUACAGUGAAUUGAUGUUCGCACUGAGGCCGGAGGCGAGAGGCGAGGGCACGGAGGUCGGUGGCAAGUGCUCAGGAGAGAAGAGGAAGGCGGCGGUGCUGGGCGGUGGCUGCGGUUUACAUGAGAGGGAGGUGACCCGCCCAGAAAGCUCUAUUGAUGGAUGAUUUCUGCCAUAUUUAUGGAGGGGGAGGACGCCAACUACUAGGAGAAGGAUCAGUUUAGCAAGUACAUGAUGUAAUUCUCUUAUGAUUAUGGAUUGCUGAGAAGCGCAACCUUUUGAUCUUCGAGAAGCGCAACCUUUUGAUCUUCGAGAACCGCAAGUUUGCUGACAUUGAAAACACAUUCAUUAUGCAAGAUGAAUGGUGAGAAAUGUGUUAUUCCCUAUCCUUCCAUUCUAUUUGCAUAUUCGCGCAGUAUGCUUAGUUUUUUCCUUUCAAGAUGAAUAUUCUACACAUGAGAGCAAUAUACUUGGUAUUAUUGAUGCUCAUAUAAUUCCUGGACCUGGAAUUGUUGAUGGCUUGAGGCUUAAAGUAUGUUAUGUGUUGCAUACCUAAUAAAUAUUAGCAAGCUAAUGUUGCAGCUUGACAGAUGCUGUGAUAACUUCUCCUUUUUCUGUUUGUUAAUAUCCACUUCGAACUGAGCAGCCAUGAUCCGGAUUUCCUCUAUGUAGCUAUGAGAUGCAUGCAGUUCGUUAUUGUGUAUCGUGCGCUAAAACAUUGAUUAUUUGACAAUGAACACAUGGCAAUGCCUUAACUAUUCAACUUGCCUAGCUCAGUAUUUUAACCAAAUAGAGAAGUUUUUUUGUUGCUUUCCCUUUUGUUAGAUAUUUUGCUUUUUGUAUGUUGAGGGGAGAUGGAUAUGGCCUCAGGACUAAACGCACAAACCACAUGAAGUGAUCUGAUGGUAGGUAAAGUAUUUUUAUUGGCAAUGCUAAUGUCUGGACCAGCUCAAUGGUUUUAACUCUAUGAUGUUUUGUUUAGCAUAUCACAUGUACAAAUGCAUAUAUACAAAUUGUGGUAGGCAACUCACUAUUUAGACGACACGACUAUUCUCUUGAUAAGGAGAGUCCCACCAUACUCAUGUGAGAGUUAGGCGUGGUAGUGGGUAGUGUUUUCUCAUCAUCCAUUAUGUGUUUCUUCUGUCUAGCUCGAAGUUGCUUAGUUAGAUAAUGAUUCGCAAAUUCCAGCAUUGCAUGUUGCCUGACACUUUUGCAUUAGCAUUGAAUUGCAUCCUGCAUUUUUGCAGCCCGCGAGGCGUGUAAAUGUUGGACUAUUGUUUCUCCGCUGAUGCACAUGUUUCGCCACAGAGACAGUACUCUGUGUGUGUGUGAUCUCUGGAAUUAGUUUUUAUGUUUCUCUUUGUUGAGUACUUUUGUAAUCUCCACGGGUGUGUUUCGUAUUUUCUAUGUAUCCUCUGUCAUUCUUUUAAGUGUUUAAUGUUUUCUUUUGUAGUUUUGAUAUUUAGGUGCAGUCACGUUUCAUUUGUCGCAUACCUGCACCCGUUAGGAAAAUCAUAGUUUCAUUUCAAUCAUGUUUCUUUAAGUUGUUCAGUGUUUGUUCAUUAUGUAGUAGAGUAAGCAGUACAUUCUGUCCAUCAGUUAAAUCACUCAUGUCACAUUCAGUUGAUUGAUUAUGUUUAGUUUUUGUUCAUUUCUCUUUGUUCCUUCAGUUUUUUGUUCCUUUAUUUAGUCAUUGUGCUUGCAUCAUUUGCCAGUAUUUUAGUCCAUCUCAAUAGACCCCUAUGAUUCUUGAUAGUUUAUCUCUUUCGUAGAUCAGACUUUUCCACUUUGUUAGUUAGGCUAAUUUAUGCUUUUUUCAGUUUUUAGUCUUUACAUGAUUUAGUUGGACAAUGUUUUUGGUAUUUCAAUAGUUCAGUAGUUUCAUACUUUCAUUUAAUUAAAUAGUCUUGUUUUUAGUCUCAGUACUUCAGGUUUAGUUUCCAAACAAGUACUUUUUUACUCAUGUGGUUUUCGGUCUUUUGACUAUAUGUGGUUUUCAAUCUUUUCAUCUCUUGGUUUACUUGUCAUUCUUAAUUUAUCCGCCUUACUAUUCUCAGUCUUGUUUUUUAUUGAGAGACACAACCUUUUCAAUACACUUCUAUUUUAAUUUUUCAUAACAACGGCUGUUUUUUUGUUGCAACUUUGACUCUAUGCUAUUAAAGUAAACCAAGUAUAUUAAAAUAAACCAACUAUAUUCAUAUAUGCCUCAGUAAUUGGUACAGCCGAUUUUUAUCGAGAGAGACAACAUUUCAAAACACUUCUAUCUUCAUUUUUCAUACCAACGAAUAUUUUUUGUGCUGACAUGUGAGUUAAUUAUUUGGAAAAAAUAUAAUCAUAUAUGUAUUGCCAACAAUUUUUAUGUUUAAAGCAACCAAUUUUGUGAAAAGAGUGGAGAGAAAGAUACAUGUGCAAUUUCUUGAUGUUACAGCGGAUGGAUGCUAGAUCUUUAAACAUAAGCACAGAUGAAUAGGUACAAAUUCGAGGAAAGGCCAAUGAAAUAGUUGUCUGUACACAUAUGUGCCAGUUUUAUACCUGGUUGUCUGGUUGCAUUAUUUGUCCGGUUUCAAUUCAGUUUGAGUAGAUUGUUAUCCGUGAGCGAUACUUGCCACUAUUUGUACCCAUGCACCAAUUUACAUACCUAUUUUAGGCACAGAAACCAACCAUGACUGAAAAUUAUGUAUAUAUAAUUUACUAUGAUUCAUGGUGAGAAAAUCAUGAUUUAAUAAACGAAAGGUGGUUUGUUUUGCUAACAGUACUGAGUAUAAAUGUAAAUCGCAGAUCGUACGCUGCUGCUACGGGCUCCAUGUUGUUUAUGCUAGACAACACAAUGGUGCUUGUGUUAUCUAUAGUUGAAGUCGCAGUUUAAUAUUCUUUGCUUUAUGCUUGUGUUAUAUGUGGUUGAAGGGACAUCCUUGUUAGUUUGCAUGGUCUAUGUAAGAAGGGGCAGUACAAUGCUUCUCAAGUUUGUUUAUAUUUUGAUGGCUGUUGAAUUCUGGACAAUGGAGAUGUGAAUUUGUUACGUACAUAGGUACUAGGCAUAGGAUACUUUACUCAUUGAUGACAUGUAGUUUUAGAGAACUUCUAAAAAUUCCAAUUCAGGUUUUCUGUGUUCCAUUCAGGAAGAACGCAUAGUCUGCACUGGGGUAUAAAAUUAUCUACUACUUACCUUUGUGUCUCGACAUAUGAUUGUGAUGCAUCGUGCUGCCAGAGGCCAACAUUAUCCAGUAUCAUAGCGAUGCUAAAAAUGACUAUUGGUUACUCCGCAUAUUCUCAUCUGAUUUCUCAUAUAUAGAUAUUAAUUUCCUUUCAUGGGAGGCCUUCAUUACAUUUCAGCGGCGGUUGCGGAUGUGAUUGGCGGUUGAGGGAGGGUCUCCGACUAGAGCAGCAGGAGCAAGGUGCUCGAGGAAGUUCAGGACAAUUUUCUGGAUUAAUAUCUAUACUGGAGAUCUAGGAGUCCACCCGAAUUCAGUCUCCAAGAAGCCGUUCAUCCAGGAUCCACCAAAGUUCAAAUGAUAUGUGAAAAGCGUGUGCUAGAUGUGGCCCCUAUCCAGCGUUUUGACCCGUCCACUCAGGUGCUUUUGUCUAGGUGGUAACACAACAAGCUGCUUAUAUUAUAGAAACUUAUUAUACGUACAUUCCUAUGUUCAUUCUGCUUGCAUGUUAGAGAAAGAGCUUCUGCCCCUAUGUGAGUAAUCCUAUGGGAAUUAGCAACGUUGGUUGUACUUUCAAGCGGGCUGAAUCCAAUGCAAGUUUUUGGAGCAGUUGGGUUCCAGAACAAACGACUAGGUAUUCCCAAAGAGGUCAUUCCACUGGUGGCUAGCAUAAUAUCUUCAUGUCGGGACAACAAUCCAAGCAAGCAACCAUCAUUCUACCAGCUCUUGUCAUCGCUGAAGAAAUUACAGUGGUUACAUUGUUACAGAAAGCCUAUGACAAUUUGCGAGUGUUGUUUGUGCAAUAUACUGGUUUUAUGGCAGGUGCAUGUAUGAAUUCAGAUGGUAGUGGUCUCCUUGUUUAUAGUUACAAGAAUAAUAAAAAUAUUGAUAAUGGUCUUUCCACUA